UUAGUACGAGAGGACCGGGAUGGACGUACCUCUGGUGUACCAGUUGUCCUGCCAAGGGCAUGGCUGGGUAGCUAUGUACGGAAUGGAUAAGCGCUGAAAGCAUCUAAGCGCGAAGCCAACUUCAAGAUAAGAUUUCCCACCGCAAGGGUAAGACCCCAGAAAGACUAUCUGGUUGAUAGGUCGAAGGUGUAAGUGCAGCAAUGUAUUUAGCUUAUCGAUACUAAUAGGUCGAGGACUUGACCAAU
rnacentral:rRNA from 1 species